AGUGAACGCUGGCGGUAGGCCUAACACAUGCAAGUCGAACGGCAGCACAGUAAGAGCUUGCUCUUACGGGUGGCGAGUGGCGGACGGGUGAGGAAUACAUCGGAAUCUACUUUUUCGUGGGGGAUAACGUAGGGAAACUUACGCUAAUACCGCAUACGACCUACGGGUGAAAGCAGGGGAUCUUCGGACCUUGCGCGAUUGAAUGAGCCGAUGUCGGAUUAGCUAGUUGGCGGGGUAAAGGCCCACCAAGGCGACGAUCCGUAGCUGGUCUGAGAGGAUGAUCAGCCACACUGGAACUGAGACACGGUCCAGACUCCUACGGGAGGCAGCAGUGGGGAAUAUUGGACAAUGGGCGCAAGCCUGAUCCAGCCAUACCGCGUGGGUGAAGAAGGCCUUCGGGUUGUAAAGCCCUGUUGUUGGGAAAGAAAAGCAGCAGGUUAAUACCCCGCUGUUCUGACGGUACCCAAAGAAUAAGCAUCGGCUAACUUCGUG
rnacentral:rRNA from 1 species